rnacentral:rRNA from 1 species
AGGCCACUGCUAUCAGGGUCCGAUUAAGCCAUGCGAGUCGAGAGGGGUAAGCCCUCGGCAAACGGCUCAGUAACACGUGGAUAACCUACCCUCGGAUCUGGAAUAACCCCGGAAAACUGGGGAUAAUACCGGAUAAGCCACGAAAGCUGGAAUGCUUCGUGGUACAAAGCGUUAGCGUCCGAGGAUGGGUCUGCGGCCGAUUAGGUUGUUGCUGGGGUAACGUCCCAACAAGCCGAUGAUCGGUACGGGUUGUGAGAGCAAGAGCUCGGAGAUGGAUUCUGAGACACGAAUCCAGGCCCUACGGGGCGCAGCAGGCGCGAAAACUUUACACUGCGCGAAAGCGCGAUAAGGGGACCCUGAGUGCGUGCGCAAUGCGUACGCUUUUCAGAUGCCUAAAAAGCAUUUGGAAUAAGGGCCGGGCAAGACCGGUGCCAGCCGCCGCGGUAACACCGGCGGCUCGAGUGGUGGCCGCUAUUAUUGGGCUUAAAGGGUCCGUAGCCGGACCGGUUAGUCCAUUGGGAAAUCUUAUAGCUCAACUAUAAGGCUGCCAAUGGAUACUGCUGGUCUUGGGACCGGGAGAGGCAAGAGGUACCUCAGGGGUAGGAGUGAAAUCCUGUAAUCCUUGAGGGACCGCCAGUGGCGAAGGCGUCUUGCUAGAACGGGUCCGACGGUGAGGGACGAAAGCUAGGGGCACGAACCGGAUUAGAUACCCGGGUAGUCCUAGCCAUAAACGAUGCGAGCUAGGUGUCACGUGGAUUGCGAAUCCGCGUGGUGCCGUAGGGAAACCGUGAAGCUCGCCGCCUGGGAAGUACGGCCGCAAGGCUGAAACUUAA